GCACAAGUGGUGUAGCGGUAACAUUCAAGCCUUCCACUGUUACGCGGUAGCUUGAGCUUCGGGUUCGACUCCCGGCUUGUGCA